AGCAGUUAUAAUUCAUUUGAUGGUUGCUCUUACAUGGAUAACUGUGGCAAUUCUAGAACUAAUACAUGCAUCAAAAUCCCACUUCUUGGAAGGGUUGUGAUUAUUAGAUACAGAACCAACACAGGCACUGCCUGGUUGCCAGCUGACUCACAGUACCAUCAUGAAUCAUGUGGCAUCUGCCGAUGAUGCAUCAUUCAAGUUUCUGACCUAUCAGCUUCCAACGGUAAGGUAUUGGCUUACCGUGGCUAUGACGGGUAACGGAGAAUUAGGGUUUGAUUCCGGAGAGGGAGCCUGAGAAAUGGCUACCACAUCUAAGGAAGGCAGCAGGCGCGUAAAUUACCCAAUCCUGACAUAGGGAGGUAGUGACAAAAAAUAACAAUACAGGGCAUCCAUGUCUUGUAAUUGGAAUGAAUAUAAUCCAAACCCCUUUGUGAGUAUCAAUUGGAGGGCAAGUCUGGUGCCACCAGCCGCGGUAAUUCCAGCUCCACUAGCGUAUAAUAAAGUUGUUGCGGUUAAAAAGCUCGUA
rnacentral:rRNA from 1 species